CCCUCUGCCUCACCCUGGACUCCCUCUGCCUCACCCCUCUGCCACACCCUGGACUCCCUCUGCCUCACCCUUUUACCUCACCCUGGACUCUCCCUGCCUCACCCUGGACUCCCUCUGCCUCACCCCUCUGCCUCACCCUGGACUCCCUCUGCCUCACCCUUCUGCCUCACCCUGGACUCUCCCUGCCUCACCCUGGACUCCCUCUGCCUCACCACAGCUCGGUGCAAACGUGAGACACUCAAGACCUUCGCCGCAGUUGUACGAAACAACAGUUUAAAUUUUUUAUUUCACCCCCACCCCUUAUUCAUUACAAGCUCAUCUCAAUAAUUUAGCAGGGUUUAUUCAAAGGGUUUUUGAAAUGUUUAAAAAAAUUUUUGGGGGGGGAGGGGGGUCAAGUAAGCACAAACGAACGGCACCAGAAAGGCAGGCAGGUGCAGAACAGCUAAGACGUUGGUGGAUUGAAGCAACACAGGCAGCCGUGAGGCAUGGACUACCUGGGACUCCCGCCAAGUGCUGACAAAAGGCUUCGCUACACCAUCACGGAUCACAGUCUUUAACACACACACGCACACACACUUUCUCUCGAAAACGCCUACGAAAUAUCUGGCAGGAAGAUGAUUUGCUAUGAUAUGCCAAUGGAUUUUUGUCUACGUGAAAGAAAUUGUGGCCUUGGCUUCUGCUUUCACCGUUGCCCCGGGAGACCAGGAUGAAGUCAAACAAGGUCAAAGCUCGACUGACUUCCUGUUUGGAGACGGCUAUUUUUGAAACAAGGGCGUUCUCCUCCGGAGAAGCAACUUGCACACGUUGUCCCCUGGACAAUCCUCUCGGUCAACAAUCAUACAGAGAUGGGGAACUGCAAAGUUCUGGAUGACUUGUGUCAAACUUGAGUAAAGGAAUAGGAGAACGCAGGAAACAGACCCGAAGAGAUAGGAUCCAAGGAAUCUCUCGAAGUUUGGCCAAAGGUCGGUACCAUGGCCACACGCCAAACUUUGGGCAAGAAGAUUUUUGACGACACACAACACAACGCCUGUUUCAAACAACUCUGGAUAAAUCACCGGUAGAUGCAUCUCCCAACCGUGUUGGCCCCUCCCCUCCAUGUCAACUCCACAGCCCUGCUUCUGUCCUUGAGGCUGAGGUAGUAGAUUGAAUAGUUGUGGGGUGUUUGUUCUCCCUUUGAGAUAACUAUACAAUCUACUGUCUUUCCUAAGGAGACAGACUGAUCAUCUCUCAGGCCUGCCCGGGCCUCCUCUGCGGCUGUUCCCUCCACGAGCAGUGCUUCCAAAUCGACAUCCUGUCCUAGUGGAUGUGGUUCACUUCCUGUUUGGAGAAUGUGAGAGCAGCACAGCGUGCCAGUCGUCUGAAGGUGGACUUGGCGCUAGGAUACGUCAGGAGCACGUUAGGUGUCGUCUCUGUUGUACCGUACAGGACUGACGAGCGUGCGGUUUGGAGUGAAUGUGCUGUGUUUGAGUGCGUUAUUGCGUUAUUGUCUUGUUGGUUUCGUUGUGUGUUUGUGUGUGUGCAUGUGUACGCGAGUGUGUGUUACGUGCUGAGUCUCUCGUGCCUCUGUCUGGCCUGACAAGGUGAGGUAGUAGGUUGUAUAGUUUGUGGGAGGAAUCGAAUCCUAUUCAGGUGAUAACUAUACAACCUAUCACCUUCCUUGAGGGGCACAGCGAUCGUUUGGAGCCAGAAACCCUGCCUUGUUGCUGCUGCUUCGCUUUGGACUAAGAAGAAGAGGAUGGAGUGUUUAUACAGCGUCUCCUUGCCAUCUAGUGGCAAAUGGGAACUACAACAUCCUGUUGAAAUCGAACACAAUUUUAGUGAUUUGUACAAGCAAUCUCACUAAAUCACCCUCUCUACUGCAGAUGGAAUGGUUUGACAUGUGGUUAGUAGUUGUUCGAGAGUACUGUGUACUUGUUUGACAUCACAACCGUAGAAAUAUUGUAUAUCCUGAAUAUUGUGACAUUCAAUUAAAUAAUGUUUGGAUUCUA